rnacentral:lncRNA from 1 species
AACCCUUCAUUUAUCAUUUUCUCACCUAACUGUAAGCCCUAAAUUCAAUCCUCACACCCUCACAAAUGAAAUCAUACCUAGCAGCCAAAAUCAAAAUCCUCAUAAAUCCCUUCUCUAAUACAAACACUAGUCCCUAAAAUCAAAUUCGCCCCUCACAAAUCUCAAUCUCAAAACUUUAAACCUAGGAACCAUAAUUCCUCAUGGGCGAAGGCCACCAGCCCAUGCCUCCACCGUCAUGUCUGCAACUGUGCUUCCCGUCCACCGCUGCUUCAUGAAUUCAUCAUCCACCUUUCAACUUUUGCAAAUUUGAUUUUUUGCUUAUUUUGUUUUAUUGUUGUACUGGUGUAAAAAAAAUUUAUAUGUAUUUUCUUUUUUUAGUGUUUAUUAUGUCUAGAUUCUAUUUUGAAUUAAUAAUUUAAAAGCGUUCUUUGGUUUAUAUACUUUUUAUUGUUUUUUAUCUACUAUAACAAAGAUCAUUGAAAGAAUAUGAUGAAAUCUGCAAAGAAUAAGAUUAUCAUAGCAAAUUUUUAAUUUUUUUAAUAAGGUCCAAAUCUGAAAAUCCAAAUUGGAACCAAAUCCGAUAUUUUUGGUUCAAUAACAGUUUCAUGCUUUUUUGUUCGAUUUUUUUGGUUAUUUAAAAUAAAUACAAUCCGAACAGAAAUUUUUGGUUUGUACCAAAUACCAAUCCGAACCGACACGAUGUCGACCCCUCCUUAGAACAUCC